rnacentral:rRNA from 1 species
CCUACGUGGCGCAGCAGUGAGGAAUAUUGGUCAAUGGACGAGAGUCUGAACCAGCCAAGUAGCGUGAAGGAUGACUGCCCUAUGGGUUGUAAACUUCUUUUAUAUGGGAAUAAAAUGUUCCACGUGUGGGAUUUUGUAUGUACCAUAUGAAUAAGGAUCGGCUAACUCCGUGCCAGCAGCCGCGGUAAUACGGAGGAUCCGAGCGUGAUCCGGAUUUAUUGGGUUUAAAGGGAGCGUAGGUGGAUUGUUAAGUCAGUUGUGAAAGUUUGCGGCUCAACCGUAAAAUUGCAGUUGAAACUGGCAGUCUUGAGUACAGUAGAGGUGGGCGGAAUUCGUGGUGUAGCGGUGAAAUGCUUAGAUAUCACGAAGAACUCCGAUUGCGAAGGCAGCUCACGGGACUGCAACUGACACUGAGGCUCGAAAGUGUGGGUAUCAAACAGGAUUAGAUACCCCGGUAGUC